rnacentral:rRNA from 1 species
UACAGAGGUCCCGAGCGUUGUUCGGAUUCAUUGGGCGUAAAGGGUGCGUAGGCGGUCUGCUAAGUUUGAUGUGAAAUCCCGGGGCUCAACCCUGGAAUGGCAUUGAAUACUGGCGGACUAGAGUACCGGAGAGGAAACUGGAAUUUACGGUGUAGCAGUGAAAUGCGUAGAGAUCGUAAGGAAGACCAGUGGCGAAGGCGAGUUUCUGGACGGUAACUGACGCUGAGGCAGCGAAGGCCAGGGGAGCAAACGGG